rnacentral:rRNA from 1 species
UCGAGUAUGAUCCCUGGCUUGCUGGGGGGAUUAGUGGUGAACGGGUGAGAACGCGUGAGUAACCUGCCCUUGACUCUGGGAUAAGCCUGGGAAACUGGGUCUAAAAAGGAUACGACCAUCUGGCGCAUGUCAUGGUGGUGGAAAGCUUUUGUGGUUUUGGAUGGACUCGCGGCCUAUCAGCUUGUUGGUGGGGUAAUGGCCUACCAAGGCGACGACGGGUAGCCGGCCUGAGAGGGUGACCGGCCACACUGGGACUGAGACACGGCCCAGACUCCUACGGGAGGCAGCAGUGGGGAAUAUUGCACAAUGGGCGCAAGCCUGAUGCAGCGACGCCGCGUGAGGGAUGACGGCCUUCGGGUUGUAAACCUCUUUCAGUAGGGAAGAAGCGAAAGUGACGGUACCUGCAGAAGAAGCGCCGGCUAACUACGUGCCAGCAGCCGCGGUAAUACGUAGGGCGCAAGCGUUAUCCGGAAUUAUUGGGCGUAAAGAGCUCGUAGGCGGUUUGUCGCGUCUGCUGUGAAAGACCGGGGCUCAACUCCGGUUCUGCAGUGGGUACGGGCAGACUAGAGU